ensembl:lncRNA
GUAGAAGUAGAGCAGUAGAAGCAGAGCAGUAGAGGCAGAGCAGUAGAAGUAGAGCAGUAGAAGCAGAGCAGUAGAAGUAGUGCAGAAGAGGUAGUGCAGUAGAAGUAGAGCAGUAGAAGUAGAGCAGUAGAGGUAGUGCAGUAGAAGUAGAGCAGUAGAAGUAGUGCAGUAGACGCAGAGCAGUAGAGGCAGAGCAGUAGAAGUAGUGCAGAAGAGGUAGAGCAGAGAUACUCACUGUAAAAUUUGGAGUUCCUCCUAGCCAUUCUGAUGGUAUCCGUGACAUUCCU